rnacentral:rRNA from 1 species
GAUGAACGCUGACAGAAUGCUUAACACAUGCAAGUCGAUGGGGAAGUGGUGCUUGCACCAUGGUAACCAUGGCGGACGGGUGAGUAACACGUAAGGAACUUACCUGCGGGACCGGGAUAACAGCAGGAAACUGCUGACAAGACCGGAUAAGGUCAUUAAGCUGCAUAGCUUAGUGAUGAAAGGAGACGCCUGCGGAGAGCCUUGCGUCCUAUUAGCUAGUUGGAGGGGUAACGGCCCACCAAGGCGAAGAUAGGUAGCCGGCCUGAGAGGGUGGACGGCCACAAGGGGACUGAGAUACGGCCCUUACUCCUACGGGAGGCAGCAGUGGGGAAUAGUGGACAAGGGGGGCAACACUGAUCCAGCAAUUCUGUGUGCACGAAGACGGUUUUCGGAUUGUAAAGUGCUUUCAGCAGGGAAGAAGGAAGUGACGGUACCUGCAGAAGAAGCGACGGCUAAAUACGUG